AUUACUUUGGGCUAGGGUUCCGGCUUUCCAAGGGAAGUGACUGGUCCGAGGGCCCGAGGCUUCUCCAUAACGAAGCGCCACGGAGGGAUAAAAGCCCGGGAGAU
rnacentral:sRNA from 17 species